AUAUGUCAGUAGGGUUUACUAGCCUGAGAUGAUUCUCUCUCAGAUCUAGACAAGCCAGGCUUGUCUGCGCCACAGACUAAUUCGCCUCUCUGGUUUCUAGCAAGAUCUUCAGCUUAUACACAGUAGUAGAAGAGACCCUUAGCUAACAUGCCAACCAGACAGCCUACCAAAGAGAAUGAAGAGCUCCCUUUAGUGCUUGUAGGCAAGAAAUUCUGGUUGGAACUAAUGUCUGCAUCAGGAAAACAACACAGCUUUCCUGUAAUAAGCCUCAGAAGAUGUAGCACACAGACACUCUGACCUGCUUAUCACACAGACAGCUGACUUUCAUCUUUCAAGGAGGUUAUGAUGAUCUACCAGAUUACACUCUGGCAUCAAACUGGAAUGUGAAGCUUCACAUCUACAUGGCUUCUAGCAACAUGGGGUUGCAGUGGGAUCACUAGGAAGAAUAAAAGCAUGCAGAAAUAAAAAAGGAGAACUUUCUCCCAGGACUAACUGAAUUUCUUAC